rnacentral:rRNA from 1 species
AGUGAACGCUGGCGGUAGGCCUAACACAUGCAAGUCGAACGGCAGCACAGUAAGAGCUUGCUCUUACGGGUGGCGAGUGGCGGACGGGUGAGGAAUACAUCGGAAUCUACUUUUUCGUGGGGGAUAACGUAGGGAAACUUACGCUAAUACCGCAUACGACCUACGGGUGAAAGCAGGGGAUCUUCGGACCUUGCGCGAUUGAAUGAGCCGAUGUCGGAUUAGCUAGUUGGCGGGGUAAAGGCCCGCCAAGGCGACGAUCCGUAGCUGGUCUGAGAGGAUGAUCAGCCACACUGGAACUGAGACACGGUCCAGACUCCUACGGGAGGCAGCAGUGGGGAAUAUUGGACAAUGGGCGCAAGCCUGAUCCAGCCAUACCGCGUGAGUGAAGAAGGCCUUCGGGUUGUAAAGCCCUUUUGUUGGGAAAGAAAAGCAGCAGGUUAAUACCCCGCUGUUCUGACGGUACCCAAAGAAUAAGCACCGGCUAACUUCGCG